GGGUGCGACCAUACCAGCACUAAUGCACCGGAUCCCAUCAGAACUCCGAAGUUAAACGUGCUUGGGCGAGAGUAGUACUAAGAUGGGUGACCUCUUAGGAAGUCCUCGUGUUGCAUCCC
rnacentral:rRNA from 1 species